rnacentral:piRNA from 1 species
UAUUUACAGUUUGGACAAAAUGGA